rnacentral:rRNA from 1 species
GAUGAACGCUGGCGGCGUGCCUAAUACAUGCAAGUCGAGCGAACGGACGAGAAGCUUGCUUCUCUGAUGUUAGCGGCGGACGGGUGAGUAACACGUGGAUAACCUACCUAUAAGACUGGGAUAACUUCGGGAAACCGGAGCUAAUACCGGAUAAUAUUUUGAACCGCAUGGUUCAAAAGUGAAAGACGGUCUUGCUGUCACUUAUAGAUGGAUCCGCGCUGCAUUAGCUAGUUGGUAAGGUAACGGCUUACCAAGGCAACGAUGCAUAGCCGACCUGAGAGGGUGAUCGGCCACACUGGAACUGAGACACGGUCCAGACUCCUACGGGAGGCAGCAGUAGGGAAUCUUCCGCAAUGGGCGAAAGCCUGACGGAGCAACGCCGCGUGAGUGAUGAAGGUCUUCGGAUCGUAAAACUCUGUUAUUAGGGAAGAACAUAUGUGUAAGUAUCUGUGCACAUCUUGACGGUACCUAAUCAGAAAGCCACGGCUAACUACGUG